rnacentral:rRNA from 1 species
CCUACGGGUGGCAGCAGUGAGGAAUAUUGGUCAAUGGGCGCAAGCCUGAACCAGCCAAGUCGCGUGAGGGAUGACGGUCCUAUGGAUUGUAAACCUCUUUUGUCGGGGAGCAAGGCCCGCCACGUGUGGCGGGAAGGAGAGUACCCGAAGAAAAAGCAUCGGCUAACUCCGUGCCAGCAGCCGCGGUAAUACGGAGGAUGCGAGCGUUAUCCGGAUUUAUUGGGUUUAAAGGGUGCGUAGGCGGAAGGUUAAGUCAGCGGUCAAAUGUCGGUGCUCAACACCGGCCUGCCGUUGAAACUGGUGCUCUUGAGUGGAAGAGAAGUAUGCGGAAUGCGUGGUGUAGCGGUGAAAUGCAUAGAUAUCACGCAGAACCCCGAUUGCGAAGGCAGCAUGCCGGCUUCCGACUGACGCUGAAGCACGAAAGCGUGGGGAUCGAACAGGAUUAGAUACCCCGGUAGUC